rnacentral:rRNA from 1 species
GUCUAUUCUGCCCAUUGAGGAAAUUCUUAAAAGGCCGCGGUAUACUAACUGUGCAAAGGUAGCAUAAUCAGUAGUUUCUUAAUUGGAGGCUUGUAUGAAUGAUUGGAUAAGAAUUAAACUGUCUUUUCUUAAAAAACUAAAUUUUAUUUUUAAGUGAAAAAGCUUAAAUAAAUUAGAGGGACGAUAAGACCCUAUAAAUCUUUAUGAAGUUAUUUUUUGUUCGACAAAAUAUUAAUGUUAAAGUUGUCUAUAAAAAAGAAUUCAUUGUGCUGGGGCGGCAGAAAUAUAAAAAAACUAUUUUAAAAUAAAUACAAAUAUAUUUGUUAAGCAGAAGAUCCUAAUUAUGGAUUUAAAGAAUAAGUUACUUUAGGGAUAACAGCAUAAUUCCUCUUGAGAGUCCAAAUCUAAAGAGGAGCUUGUGACCUCGAUGUUGAAUUAAAAAUUCCC